CGUUUUUCCUUUUCGUGAUCAAAAAGGGAUAUACGAUUUUUUUAAAUGCUUUGAUUUUCGUUUUAUAUUUAGAAUAACAAGAAAGUAAAAUCAGUAAGAGACAGAAACGAAAAAAGGUCUGUUUUUUCAUUUUCUGAGACCGGAAGUGGUCAUCAGCAAGGGUGGAGCCAAACGACAACAAGAUUCUCAGAGGGCGGAGCCAGAGAGCAGUGACUGGUCAGACUGACUGAGAGCCAGAGAGCAUCUCUGACUGCUGUUGACCUUGUUUUUGGAGUAAAACACGGUGGAAGCUGAAUUAGUGAGGAUGACUCCUGCUCCUGUCAUCUCUAAGCUCCUCCCACAUCUUUACCUGCACAUGAGGAAAAUCACUCCUGUAGAAUGCAGAUGUUCAGAGGGAGAUGAUGCCACAUCUGGUCCAGCUGAUGGAAGGUCUUGAAGUUCUCUGACUGGCCUGGACUGAAGAUGGUCGUCUCACUGGAUUUAAGAAAAUAAAACUGGAGGUGGCGGCCAUUGCUGUAGCGUGGAUCAUCCACAAAUUAUGAUGUUGGCUGUUUGAUUCCCCUUCGUGUAUCGAAGUGUCCUUGUUCAAUUGGGAGCACCCAGUGAUAGGGUGCUAACGGACAUGGAUGCAGACACCUCCGCUUCUGCACAAAAACACAUAAACAUGCAAGCUGUAUACGUGCCCCGCUGCUCACCUUGGUCUCCAGCAUGCACAGGCAAACACGAGCAACACGCUGCACAACGGGCAUGCAGCGGUGGAACCACUGUGGGUGAGGCGUGUACCGGAGUGGAGCUCCCAUGUGGCUUCACUCAAUGGUGACUGAACCAUAAGAACAGAGGGACAGAGGGCUGCACACCACGGGGACUCUGGGAUGGCUCAGCCUUCUCCUGGAGGACCGCUGCCUUGGAGUCUAAUCAGGAGGAUCCCCAGGAAACCCAAACAACGCCACGUGUCCAGCCAGAGGACGGAUCGGGUUUCCUUUCGCCUCCAGCUCCGGCACGGACCCUCCUGGUUUGCCUGAAAGUGAUUCCUGCCGCCUCAGAUCAGCGGAAAGAUGUGAGAGUUUGACUGACAGGCGAGCUCUGCGUCCCUUUAAAUCGAGCCAGGCCUGAAAAUGGAGAUCUUACAAGGUGAAGUACACUCGGACAGGAGCAGCAGAUAUUCAGUUCUUCCCUGGAGAACCUGAUCCUUACCGGCCACUGAUGUCUCGUCAGUCCAGGAGGUGUGAUGGAAAAUCCCACAGAAGCAAGUCUGACCCUAUAGAUCAGGGGUGUCAAACUCAUCUUAGUUCAGAGUUGGAGGUGGUGGGGAACAACAAUCCAGG
ensembl:lncRNA